rnacentral:tRNA from 1 species
UUCCUGGAGGUCAAGUGUUUAAGACACUGCACUCCCAGUGCAGAGGGCAUGGGUUUGAUCCCUGGUCAGGAAA